UACACAGCAGCACAGCGGAGAGAAUAAGCAUUGUGCUAUCUGCAAGUUUAAAGCGUGCACACUCCACAGAUACUGUCAGGACAAUGAGGCUUCUUAUCGCAACACGACCUCAGCGUUUCACACCACUGGCAAAGGCAUAACCAGAGGCUACAGUGAUGUAACACACCCAGGCAGACACAGCUGGCUCUUGCCCCGCCAGGAGCUGAACGCCACACUGGAGCCUACAUCACAGCGAGGAUGGACUCAGAGGAAGCUGUCUGUGACACGAAGCCAAGACUUGUCACUUUGGAAUGAAGUUCAUAGAGACCAAACGGAGCCAAAAGGAGAGUGAAUUUUGGAUUUUGGCUACAUCAUCAGGUGGACAUCUGACUCCAGGAUGUUUGACCUGCUCUUCCACUACCUCCUUCUUGCUCUGAGCCGGAGCUGGCGCACUGUACUUCUCACUGAAUAUAUCACCAUCCUCAUCAUCUUCAUCGAAGAGGUCAAUAGCUUUCUUGGGUUUGGGUUUCUCCUGUCCAGCUGAAAGAGGAGGAGAACAACCAACACACAGAGGUUUGAUGGGUGAGGCUCCCAUCUGAACUUGGACUGCAGCACUGAAGGGCCCAUUCUCACACACUUACCAGAGUCAGAAUUUUUCAGGCUUUUACUACCGAAGAUGUCAUCAUCCUCAUCCUCCUCAUCGAACAGCCCACGUCCUCCUAGUCCACCAGCUAAUGUAGGAACCUGUUUAGAGGCAGCUGGAGUUCCAUUCUCUUUGCUCUCCACUGGAUCAGAGUUAUUCCCUGAACUGAACAGGUUGUCAUCUGUGGAGAGAACAUGAUUUGGUUUGGUUGAGGAUAACAAAUCAAAGAAGGACAUGAUAUUAGCUGUCACACAAGUAAAUGCUACUACCUGGGAAUAUUGAAAUGGCACCAGCUGGAAUCUUCUUUCCAGGUUUGUCAGAUUCUAGUGGAGAAAAUAAAAGUUCAGUGGCAAUCUGCUAGUCCAGUUUAUUCUAUAUGGUUAAACCCAUCUUAUCUUAUCUUAUCCAUCUUAUCUAUAUGUCUUUGCACAUAUCUGUCAAGACAGUCGGUCAUACCUGCACUUUGACCUUUGCUUUUCAUGCUUUCAUUCAGCUCCUUCUUCUCCUCAUACACAGGAGGUUUUGGUGCCUCAGAGAAAAGAUCACCCUGAAUGACAUAACAUAAUGCAGCACAAAUCAAAUUCUGACUGCAGCCUAGAAUUUAUGUAAUGUAUAAGUGGACUGAAUAACAAAGAGCUCUGCCUAUCAUUCAGUUUAACAUACCUCGUCAUCAUCGUCAAACAGGCCUCUCCCUCCACUGAAGAGGCCACUUUUCCCUCCAAAUGGGGAGAAGUCAUCAUCAUCCAUCUUUGGUGGCUUAAACAUGUCAUCGCUGUCCUCCUCAGCUGCUGUUCCAAUAAACAUAAACAGUAUGGAGCAGCAUACUGAGUAACAAUGGGCCUGCAGUCGAAAUAACUUGCAAAAUGGAACCAAAAAAUAAACUGAACUGAUGAUGAAUGAAAGUCCUACCCUGUGCCUUUGCAGGCUUUGGUUCUUUCCUGCCUUUACUUUUCUUCUUAGAUGCCAAUGCUUCCAAGACAUGACAUGGCAGAAACACAAAAUCCAUGAGCAUGCACAUGCAAUGAUCGAACUCAUUACUUAAAUCUCAAAUGUAAACUUUGAUGCUGUCCCUUCCCCAAAGUAAGUACGAAGACUGGGAAGACUAAAAAAGUGAGACACAUACUACCAGUUGGUUGAUCAUGACAGUGACUUACAUGCGCGAUCUCCUUCUGGUUUGUUAGCUGGUUCACCUUUGAUUCGGGCCGCAAGCUCAUCGGCAAAAGACGAUGGGCCUGUGUUCUGAAUGUGACACAAUAAACAAACAAGAAAAGUAAGCUAUCAGAAUGAUUUCAGACAGAAUUACAAACAAUCCACUCACAAAGAUAUCUCUCUCACUACCAGAGCAAGUUAUAACAGGUGUACCUUUGUGUCGUCGUCAUCAUCCCUGUCUGAUUCUCCAAAUAUGUCAGAAUCCUCGUCCUCCUCCUCUUCAUCAUCCUCAUAACUCAAUAUGGAUGACUUCUGGGUGAAUGUGGGGGAAGAAUCCAAAAUUAGAAAGUUGUUUAAAUGUACUCUUUAAUGUGUUUGGCAGGCAAGCAAGCAGGCAGCUUACCUUCUUAAUAUUAUUGUGACCUCCUUCCUCCUCUUGAUCAAAGUCCUCA